GUGUGGGCUCCAGCUGCUUGUAGUUCUUUCCUGUCCUCUCCUUGUAUCAGAGGUGGCAGAGGAAGGCGCAUCACUCCAUGGGAGCGUCCCUGUCAGCAUCAGGGCCCAGGGGCAGGCAGACUGCCCUAUUUGCUUCAGAACAUCUCUCCCCAACUUGGCUGGUUUCAACAUCUCAAGACCCUGUUAUGCUUGAGCAGGCACUGGAAUCUAGGCUUUCAGGAGACCAGGGAAGCAAAAGGCAAUCGAUUAAAACUGAUGAUAAAAGGGAGGACUACCAAGAGGACCACAUCACUUAGGGCAACUGACCCCAGGCCCCUCGGGAUGGGUACCUGACUGUGAAGCCAAAACCCUGUCUCUGAACUGCUUACCAACCUGAAGUGUCACCCCCUGCAACUCCCUGCUUCAGUUGACAGUUUGGGUGACCAUAAAGGGACCCAGAGCAGACUUCCCUCCUUCGCCUGAACUCUAGGAGGAACCAGAGCCUUGGUACCAGCAGAGGCCUCUUGUGCCCAUUCGCCUCCUUGGAGAGUCCAG